GAUGAACGCUGGCGGCGUGCCUAAUACAUGCAAGUCGAGCGAAUGGAUUAAGAGCUUGCUCUUAUGAAGUUAGCGGCGGACGGGUGAGUAACACGUGGGUAACCUGCCCAUAAGACUGGGAUAACUCCGGGAAACCGGGGCUAAUACCGGAUAACAUUUUGAACCGCAUGGUUCGAAAUUGAAAGGCGGCUUCGGCUGUCACUUAUGGAUGGACCCGCGUCGCAUUAGCUAGUUGGUGAGGUAACGGCUCACCAAGGCAACGAUGCGUAGCCGACGUGAGAGGGUGAUCGGCCACACUGGGACUGAGACGCGGCCAAGAGUCCUACGGGAGGGAGAAGUAUGGAAUCUUCCGCAAUGGACGAAAGUCUGACGGAGCAACGCCGCGUGAGUGAUGAAGGCUUUCGGGUCGUAAAACUCUGUUGUUAGGGAAGAACAAGUGCUAGUUGAAUAAGCUGGCACCUUGACGGUACCUAACCAGAAAGCCACGGCUAACUACGUGCCAGCCGCCGCAGUAA
rnacentral:rRNA from 1 species